CCACAAGGCAAACAAGGCAUUUGACUAGGACGGCACUUUAAGGGAGCCGCAAGAAAAUGCCACCCCAAGCUCCCAAACAAAUGCCUUAUUUGCCUCAUGUCCUGGGGCUGUCCUUCUUAGAGCCCCCCAGAGGUGUUAAAUUACUAAUAUUCCAGAUGGCAAGAAAGCGCUGUCCUCCACUCUUCUUGCUCUCUCGCGCUCUGUGAGUCUGCGAGUGAGUGUAGCUGUCAGUGUGUGUCUGUGAGUGAGUUAAAGUGUGUGUCUGUCAGAGUGAGUCAAAUCAGUGAGGAUGGAUAUGUCUGUGAGUGUGUGUCAGUGUGUGUCUGGCAUUUUAUGUGUAUCUAAGAGUGUGUGUCUGUCAGUGAGUGGGUGUGUCAGUGUGUUUGUCAGUGAAAGUGUGUGUUGAUUAAACAGUGUGUGUACCAAUGACUGUAUGUGUAUGCCAAUGACUGUGUAUCUGCAAUUGAGUGUAUGUGAGGGCCUGUGUCUGUCUGUCAAAAAAGUGGCCUUGACAGGAAUUUGGGGGUGCCCUAAUUUAGUUGUGCCUAGGGCAGCACAAAUCCAAAAUACACCACUGGAUAACAGGGAUGA